GACGAACGCUGGCGGCGUGCCUAAUACAUGCAAGUCGAACGAACUCUGGUAUUGAUUGGUGCUUGCAUCAUGAUUUACAUUUGAGUGAGUGGCGAACUGGUGAGUAACACGUGGGAAACCUGCCCAGAAGCGGGGGAUAACACCUGGAAACAGAUGCUAAUACCGCAUAACAACUUGGACCGCAUGGUCCGAGUUUGAAAGAUGGCUUCGGCUAUCACUUUUGGAUGGUCCCGCGGCGUAUUAGCUAGAUGGUGGGGUAAUGGCUCACCAUGGCAAUGAUACGUAGCCGACCUGAGAGGGUAAUCGGCCACAUUGGGACUGAGACACGGCCCAAACUCCUACGGGAGGCAGCAGUAGGGGAUCUUCCACAAUGGACGAAAGUCUGAUGGAGCAACGCCGCGUGAGUGAAGAAGGGUUUCGGCUCGUAAAACUCUGUUGUUAAAGAAGAACAUAUCUGAGAGUAACUGUUCAGGUAUUGACGGUAUUUAACCAGAAAGCCACGGCUAACUACGUGCCAGCAGCCGCGGUAAUACGUAGGUGGCAAGCGUUGUCCGGAUUUAUUGGGCGUAAAGCGAGCGCAGGCGGUUUUUUAAGUCUGAUGUGAAAGCCUUCGGCUUAACCGAAGAAGUGCAUCGGAAACUGGGAAACUUGAGUGCAGAAGAGGACAGUGGAACUCCAUGUGUAGCGGUGAAAUGCGUAGAUAUAUGGAAGAACACCAGUGGCGAAGGCGGCUGUCUGGUCUGUAACUGACGCUGAGGCUCGAAAGUAUGGGUAGCAAACAGGAUUAGAUACCCUGGUAGUCCAUACCGUAAACGAUGAAUGCUAAGUGUUGGAGGGUUUCCGCCCUUCAGUGCUGCAGCUAACGCAUUAAGCAUUCCGCCUGGGGAGUACGGCCGCAAGGCUGAAACUCAAAGGAAUUGACGGGGGCCCGCACAAGCGGUGGAGCAUGUGGUUUAAUUCGAAGCUACGCGAAGAACCUUACCAGGUCUUGACAUACUAUGCAAAUCUAAGAGAUUAGACGUUCCCUUCGGGGACAUGGAUACAGGUGGUGCAUGGUUGUCGUCAGCUCGUGUCGUGAGAUGUUGGGUUAAGUCCCGCAACGAGCGCAACCCUUAUUAUCAGUUGCCAGCAUUAAGUUGGGCACUCUGGUGAGACUGCCGGUGACAAACCGGAGGAAGGUGGGGAUGACGUCAAAUCAUCAUGCCCCUUAUGACCUGGGCUACACACGUGCUACAAUGGAUGGUACAACGAGUUGCGAACUCGCGAGAGUAAGCUAAUCUCUUAAAGCCAUUCUCAGUUCGGAUUGUAGGCUGCAACUCGCCUACAUGAAGUCGGAAUCGCUAGUAAUCGCGGAUCAGCAUGCCGCGGUGAAUACGUUCCCGGGCCUUGUACACACCGCCCGUCACACCAUGAGAGUUUGUAACACCCAAAGUCGGUGGGGUAACCUUUUAGGAACCAGCCGCCUAAGGUGGGACAGAUGAUUAGGGUG
rnacentral:rRNA from 2 species